UACGUAGGGUGCGAGCGUUGUCCGGAAUUAUUGGGCGUAAAGAGCUCGUAGGCGGCUUGUCGCGUCGGAUGUGAAAGCCCGGGGCUUAACUCCGGGUCUGCAUUCGAUACGGGCAGGCUAGAGUUCGGUAGGGGAGAUCGGAAUUCCUGGUGUAGCGGUGAAAUGCGCAGAUAUCAGGAGGAACACCGGUGGCGAAGGCGGAGCGCUGGGCCGAUACUGACGCUGAGGAGCGAAAGCGUGGGGAGCGAACAGG
rnacentral:rRNA from 1 species